UUGAGCUGUCCAAGGAAUGCCCAGCUGAGGGUAGAGCUUAGUCAAGGCUUGCCAGAAUGAAAAACAAACAAAAAAACUGAACCAAGAAAAGAAAAGAAAGAGAAAAAAGGAAAUACAUUCAGGCCCAAGAGCAUGCUGUUGUCUUUAUCUGGGCCCUGCUCUGAGACUCAAGUAUAAGAAGAGGGAAUAGAAUGGAAGCUCCUGGAGGCAGCGUAUGCAAGUGUAUAUUCACCCCUUGAUUGAAUAAA